rnacentral:rRNA from 1 species
GAUGAACGCUGGCGGCGUGCCUAAUACAUGCAAGUCGAGCGAACAGACGAGGAGCUUGCUCCUCUGACGUUAGCGGCGGACGGGUGAGUAACACGUGGAUAACCUACCUAUAAGACUGGGAUAACUUCGGGAAACCGGAGCUAAUACCGGAUAAUAUAUUGAACCGCAUGGUUCAAUAGUGAAAGACGGUUUUGCUGUCACUUAUAGAUGGAUCCGCGCCGCAUUAGCUAGUUGGUAAGGUAACGGCUUACCAAGGCAACGAUGCGUAGCCGACCUGAGAGGGUGAUCGGCCACACUGGAACUGAGACACGGUCCGGACUCCUACGGGAGGCAGCAGUAGGGAAUCUUCCGCAAUGGGCGAAGGCCUGACGGAGCAACGCCGCGUGAGUGAUGAAGGUCUUCGGAUCGUAAAACUCUGUUAUUAGGGAAGAACAAAUGUGUAAGUAACUAUGCACGUCUUGACGGUACCUAAUCAGAAAGCCACGGCUAACUACGUG